GACGAACGCUGGCGGCGUGCUUAACACAUGCAAGUCGAGCGGUAAGGCCCUUUCGGGGUACGACGAGCGGCGAACGGGUAGGAGUAACAACGUGGGUGGACCUCGCCCUUACGUCUCUGGGAGUAAAGACCUCGGGAAACGUAGGGUCGUAAUAACCGGAGUAUGACUCCAUGACGCAUGUUGUGGGGUGGAAAGACCUUGUGCGGCGUAGGGAGU
rnacentral:rRNA from 1 species